GAUACAUUUCCUAUACAGUGACUGUAAGUGAGGGGGUACAGCAAAAAACAAAACAAACAGAUUGCUAAACCUACAUGUUUCUUGUUUGCGGCUUUUGCAAGCCAUCUUUCUACAACCCAGCUUAGACUUCGUGUGUGUCCAAUCACAGACUUUCCAGCACGGCUCAAACUCUUUGCAAGUUAGGUGCUCUGGGCACUUGCCUGCCUUUUAAGUAUAGCUUCACUGAGCUAAACUACCGGGAAAUAACAAAAACAGUUGUCUGUUUGAGAGCCAGGUGGUUGUAACGUUAAUUUAUAAAAGUG